CACCUAUUGUGUACCCUUGUUUUACAGGUAGAACACAGUGUGUGCCCAUUAUGACACUGAUGGAUGGGUGGGUACAUAGAAUUGGUGCAAACAGGGCAUUCUAGCAACUCAUGGACGCUGGUGGCUGGAGCGAUUCCAACGGGACCGACGACAUUGUUGAUGUUAUUGUUAUUAUUGGCGCCGGCAUUGUGAGGCUUUGAUGAAGAAAAUUGAUGGUGGUGAUGAUGAAGAUUGUGGUGAUGUAUCUCAUCUUCAUCCAACCCAUCAGAGGAUGACACACAGUCAAUACCAUCCAACUCCAUAAUAGCCCAGAAAUUCACAAUUUCUUUUUCCAAUUUAAUACAAACUCAAAAAAAAAAAUCUAAGAAUUUUUUUCUCCCUUUCUUUUUGUCUCUCAAAAUUUCCUGACUUUCUUCGCUCUUCUUGCGUUUUCUAGGUAAAGUUUAACGAGAACAAAGAGAAGAGAAAGAGGGGAAGACAGAGAUUCCCAGGAACCAAACAACUCCCUUCUCUUUCUUCUUUCUCUCUCUUUCUUUCUUGUCGAUAAAGAGGCCCUUUUAUUCGUUGCUUUUUUUUUUUUUUUUCAACUUUCUCUCU
rnacentral:misc_RNA from 1 species